rnacentral:rRNA from 1 species
UACGAAGGGGGCUAGCGUUGCUCGGAAUUACUGGGCGUAAAGCGCACGUAGGCGGAUCUUUAAGUCAGAGGUGAAAUCCCAAGGCUCAACCUUGGAACUGCCUUUGAUACUGGGGAUCUUGAGUCCGGGAGAGGUGAGUGGAACUGCGAGUGUAGAGGUGAAAUUCGUAGAUAUUCGCAAGAACACCAGUGGCGAAGGCGGCUCACUGGCCCGGUACUGACGCUGAGGUGCGAAAGCGUGGGGGAGCAAACAGGG